rnacentral:rRNA from 1 species
CCUACGGGAGGCAGCAGUGGGGAAUAUUGCGCAAUGGGCGGAAGCCUGACGCAGCGACGCCGCGUGGGUGACGAAGGCCUUCGGGUCGUAAAACCCUGUUGCAGGGGACGAAGGAAGUGACGGUACCCUGUGAGGAAGCCCCGGCUAACUACGUGCCAGCAGCCGCGGUAAAACGUAGGGGGCGAGCGUUGUCCGGAAUUACUGGGCGUAAAGGGCUCGUAGGUGGUUUCUUAGGUCUCACGUGAAAUUCCCUGGCUCAACCAGGGAGGGUCGUGGGAAACCGAGAGGCUAGAGGGCAGGAGAGGAGAGUGGAAUUCCCGGUGUAGCGGUGAAAUGCGUAGAGAUCGGGAGGAACACCAGUGGUGAAGACGGCUCUCUGGACUGUCCCUGACACUGAGGAGCGAAAGCCAGGGGAGCAAACCGGAUUAGAUACCCGAGUAG